GGGUACUUGUACCUGGUGGCGAGCGGCGGACGGGUGAGUAAUGCCUAGGAAUCUGCCUGGUAGUGGGGGAUAACGCUCGGAAACGGACGCUAAUACCGCAUACGUCCUACGGGAGAAAGCAGGGGACCUUCGGGCCUUGCGCUAUCAGAUGAGCCUAGGUCGGAUUAGCUAGUUGGUGAGGUAAUGGCUCACCAAGGCGACGAUCCGUAACUGGUCUGAGAGGAUGAUCAGUCACACUGGAACUGAGACACGGUCCAGACUCCUACGGGAGGCAGCAGUGGGGAAUAUUGGACAAUGGGCGAAAGCCUGAUCCAGCCAUGCCGCGUGUGUGAAGAAGGUCUUCGGAUUGUAAAGCACUUUAAGUUGGGAGGAAGGGCAGUUACCUAAUACGUAUCUGUUUUGACGUUACCGACAGAAUAAGCACCGGCUAACUCUGUGCCAGCAGCCGCGGUAAUACAGAGGGUGCAAGCGUUAAUCGGAAUUACUGGGCGUAAAGCGCGCGUAGGUGGUUCGUUAAGUUGGAUGUGAUAUCCCCGGGCUCAACCUGGGAACUGCAUUCAAAACUGACGAGCUAUAAUAUGGUAGA
rnacentral:rRNA from 1 species